rnacentral:piRNA from 1 species
UUGGAGGUGAUGAACUGUCUUGGCCUGAAC